UGGAUCCAGACUUUGAUCCUGGCUCAGGACGAACGCUGGCGGCGUGCCUAACACAUGCAAGUCGAACGGAACUAUUCUAAAAGAUUUCUUCGGAAUGAUUUUGGCUUAGUUUAGUGGCGGACGGGUGAGUAACGCGUGAGUAACCUGCCUUCAAGAGGGGGAUAACGUUCUGAAAAGGACGCUAAUACCGCAUAACAUAUCGGAAUCGCAUGGUUUUGAUAUCAAAGAUUUUAUCGCUUGAAGAUGGACUCGCGUCCGAUUAGUUAGUUGGUGAGGUAACGGCUCACCAAGACCGCGGUCGGUAGCCGGACUGAGAGGUUGAACGGCCACAUUGGGACUGAGACACGGCCCAGACUCCUACGGGAGGCAGCAGUGGGGGAUAUUGCGCAAUGGGGGCAACCCUGACGCAGCAACGCCGCGUGAAGGAUGAAGGUUUUCGGAUUGUAAACUUCUUUUCUUAUGGACGAAAACUGACGGUACUUAAGGAAUAGCUCCGGCUAACUACGUGCCAGCAGCCGCGGUAAUACGUAGGGAGCAAGCGUUGUCCGGAUUUACUGGGUGUAAAGGGUGCGUAGGCGGCAAUGCAAGUCAGAUGUGAAAUCUAUGGGCUCAACCCAUAAACUGCAUUUGAAACUGCGUUGCUUGAGCGAAGUAGAGGCAGGCGGAAUUCCCCGUGUAGCGGUGAAAUGCGUAGAGAUGGGGAGGAACACCAGUGGCGAAGGCGGCCUGCUGGGCUUUAACUGACGCUGAGGCACGAAAGCGUGGGUAGCAAACAGGAUUAGAUACCCUGGUAGUCCACGCUGUAAACGAUGAUUACUAGGUGUGGGGGGUUCUGACCCCUUCCGUGCCGGAGUUAACGCAAUAAGUAAUCCACCUGGGGAGUACGGCCGCAAGGUUGCAACUCAAAGGAAUUGACGGA
rnacentral:rRNA from 1 species